UACGAAGGGGGCUAGCGUUGCUCGGAAUCACUGGGCGUAAAGGGUGCGUAGGCGGGUUUUAAGUCAGGGGUGAAAUCCUGGAGCUCAACUCCAGAACUGCCUUUGAUACUGAAGAUCUUGAGUCCGGGAGAGGUGAGUGGAAUUGCGAGUGUAGAGGUGAAAUUCGUAGAUAUUCGCAAGAACACCAGUGGCGAAGGCGGCUCACUGGCCCGGUACUGACGCUGAGGCGCGAAAGCGUGGGGAGCAAACAGGG
rnacentral:rRNA from 1 species